rnacentral:rRNA from 1 species
UACGUAGGGGCCUAGCGUUGUCCGGAUUAUUGGUGCGUAAAGAGCUCGUAGGCGGUUCGGUAAGUCAGGUGUGAAAUCUCCACGCUCAACGUGGAGGCGCCACCUGAAACUGCCGUGACUAGAGUCCGGUAGGGGAGUGUGGAAUUCCCGGUGUGAGCGGUGAAAUGCGUAGAGAUCGGGAAGAACAUCGGUGGCGAAGGCGGCUCACUGGCCCGGUACUGACGCUGAGGUGCGAAAGCGUGGGGAGCAACAGG